AAAAAAAAAAAAAAAAGACAAUAAUUAAGAUAAGGAAAAAAAAACCCAUCCAUUUAUCUUUCGUCACUCGAUAAAAUCUUCAAACUGUCUGACGUCGUUUAAACAAGGAAAAAAAUAUUUAUUGCGCUGUGGCGGCUCAUUCAUUGGUUGGGACGGUGGGCCCGUUAACGCCUUCAUGAAACACCUUAGCAAUCCUCUCGAUUGGGAUCAACGGCACAUACGCCGCCGCCAUAUACCCUCUAUCCGCUGCAUAAGAAACCAACUGAUUGUAUUUCUCAGACCAGCGAGCAGCAGUGGGGACUACGACUUGAGCAGCUUGAGGAAAUAGAGGAAGCCGAUUCAGUGUAUGCCAGGCCGACACCGCGUAAUGCUCAGCCAACGGUUCGUACUUGCAAUACAGCUCCUUAGCCGUCGGCUCAUACUUUGUAUACAUCGUCUUCGCAAUGCUCUUCGCUGCCUCCACGAUGCCGGCGCGCUGAACUUCACAAGCCACGGCUCGAGCUUGGCUUGAAGCCUGCUUCACCAGCGACGGCACGUGCCUGUCUAUUUCGCUUAGAGCGUCGUCAACCUGCAUUGCACGUGAGCCCCAAAAUCCUGUGACUAUAAUACCACGCGGAGUAGGAAGGAACAAGCAUAUAAGAAUACUGACCUUGCGAUCGACGAAUUUGAGAAGUUCAAAGGGAACGUCGCAGAACUUCUCGUAUACCGGUCCGAUGACCAUUUUGACGGUGCCUUCGACGGUCUGGACCGCCGGUUUUAAAGGACCGGAGUUUUCCUUUGCGUAGUCAUAUAUGGUUGAGAAACAAAUUAUAACGUAAAUCGUCGCCACUUGAACGAAAUCUAAAUACUUGACCGUUUUGUCGUUAUCUUGAGCCUUCAACAAAAAUGCAAAAACACAAACGAAAAUCCUGAAACACUCUGAAAAAGAAAAACUGAUUUCCUUAAGAGCUUUCUAUCAAUUCUAGGCAGCCAAACAAAAGCAUUACACGCAAAUAUUCAGAUGAAGUGAAGAGGAAAGAUGAAUAUGAUACCAUCUCUGUAUGUUGUUCCAUUUCAGAUUCAGCCAUUUUUCCCCGUUUGGUGACUUCUUUUGCAACCUUUCCUUACCCUGAAAAAGCCUACUCCUGCAAAUUCCUAAAUGACGAUAUAGAGCGUUGCAACUACUCCCAUUUUUUAUAGUGCAAAAAAAUUGCUGCGUGGCAGAUUUUGAUUCGCCAAAGAAGUCCGGGAGGUCAACAUUUUCAAUUCGAAUUCGAAGUUCAAUUUCGCCGUCGGAUUUGCCGACGUUACACAGAAAAGCUUGGAAGAAACAAGUGUCAUGUAGUUGACACGUGGAUGGCGAUGAUCGCUGUAGUAUUUUUGAGUUGAAUUUAGUAUACGUGGCUUCAUCAUGUGUCGAUGUUACCGGUAUGUGUCGAGAGCGGGGUGAUGGGAGUAAAUGUUGUGUACAUGGCACGGAUUGCGAUGCACCUCCUUUUGGCACGAUAAGCGAGGUGGUGAGUGGUGAGUGGUGAGUGGUGAGCCUCACGUCCUUUGUCUGUUGAUAAUGGUGGGCUGGUCUG
rnacentral:misc_RNA from 1 species